AGGGUUUGAAUAAGUAUCCAUAUGUUAAAAAGCUAUGUUCAAGAACAGUUGCUAACACUUGGUAUAUGUUUGUCUCAGUAUCUUAUGCUCUGUUAUGAGUUUUCUGGUUUUGUUGAUAUGAUUCUUUAUGUGGUUUUUGUUGUAGGUUUUAAGUGAUUCUCAGAAGAGAGCCAUAUAUGAUCAAUAUGCUGAAGAAGGUCUCAAAGGACAAGUGCCACCCCCUGAUGCAGCAGGGGGAUUCCCUGGUGGUGGUGUUACUUUCUUUCAAACUGGGGAUGGUCCAAUGUUGGACACAAGAGAGAGGUCAUUCUUGAAAAACAACUGGUACAGAUUACAGGAAAAGAAAGAGCUGAUCUUAAGGUGAAGAGAGCAGUGAUAAUUAUAGCUAUUCUGAUUGGAUUAACUUGUGGGAUGAUUUUAAUUGGCUUUUACAUUUGCAAGUGGAGAGCAUUUUAUGGAAAUCAAAUCCUUGUUUCCUGCCGAUUGCAGUCCAUUCUAAGAUGGUUUUGGAAAUAGAGAUACAGAUGAAGUUAGCUACCUUAAGGUCGGAAUUCCACUAGGAAAAAGUUACUAUGCCUGAAAAUGAGCAAAGUCAGAACUGAAAGAGCUUCUUUAGAGCUUUGGAAGGUACUUUUUUUCCAAUUCAUUCUUAAUAUGAUAUUACCUUCUUUCUUAGCUUCUUUGAGUUUUUCCAUCUCUGAUGCUAAACAUGCUUUACUUUUGAACUUUAUCCAGAUAUAAGAUUGCUCAAAAGGUUUGUUUUUUGGCAUAUAAAUUGAAAACCUAUUUAUGAGCAUUUUCCAUGUUUUUUUUUUCAUGAAAGCUGUUAAGUUGUGCUGAAUGAAUGUAACUUUGGGUUUGCAGGUUGCGGGUUUAGCUGUUGUUUGUGUUAUA